rnacentral:rRNA from 1 species
UACGUAGGGGGCAAGCGUUGUCCGGAUUUAUUGGGCGUAAAGAGCUCGUAGGUGGUUCGGUAAGUCGGAUGUGAAAUCUCCAGGCUCAACCUGGAGGGGUCAUUCGAUACUGCCGUGACUAGAGGUCGGUAGGGGAGUGUGGAAUUCCUGGUGGAGCGGUGAAAUGCGCAGAUAUCAGGAGGAACACCGGUGGCGAAGGCGGCUCACUGGCCCGGUACUGACGCUGAGGUGCGAAAGCGUGGGGAGCAAACAGG